GUAAAAUAUAGACAGCAUGGAUGGGGGUUGCUAGGGAGCAGACGUAAAAAAAAUUAAAAAAAGUAAUUUAUGUACUUUUAUUGCAAGCUAGCAAUAACAAUGUGUAAGCCACUUGUACCGUUGAAUAUUAUCUGCUUUUUCAGGAGUCAUGUGUGUACCAAACAAGAAUCUUAUCGACAAAGAUAUAAAACCAGCUGUGGUUUCUUAAACUUAGGACGAUGUACACGUCAUAGAACAAAGUACAAGUCUGUAAGUUUUUGUUGUUCAGGAUGGAGGUCCAAAACUACAGGUUUAGCCUGCGAUAUGGCAAUCUGUGAUAAUAAAAUCGAACCAACAGCAUGUGAUAACACUUUCUCUAAUUCACAUAUUAUAUAUGGCGAUGGUUCUGUACAAAGAAGUGUUUCAGGUACAUGUACCAACCCAAAUGUGUGUAAUUGUGGAAAACAAGGCUUUUAUGCCACAAGUGGAAAAU